rnacentral:lncRNA from 1 species
AAGAAGGUGCUCGCCAAGGAUUCACAUCCUUGUGCCGAUGUAUCCUUAUAGUGCAAUAAGGAAGUCAGAGCUUUGUAGUUCGGAGGACAAAGACUGAGAAAAGAUAUGAUUAAUGGGUGGUGUUUAAACCAAAAGGAAAGAAAAGGGGGUUAACCACAAAGGUGUGUCCCUAAAAAGGAAAAGAAAUUGCGAUGGUAUUUAAACCAACAAAAAGGGAAAACAUGUCAAAGCCAGAGACUCAUAUGACAAGGGUCUUAUCAAAGGACAAAG